rnacentral:rRNA from 1 species
AUGGCAGGAAUUAGAUAUUCAGAUGAUUUGUAUGGGGUACGAGCUACCAUAAAUGCGUAUGAGCCAAAGGUGAAGAAAGGUAGCAAGGAUAUUAGUCAAUCAGGUGUACUAAUUGAUAAUGGACCAAAGAGUCAAGAAGAAGCUGUAGGUGCGUGUUAUUCGGUAGCUCCAAACUCCACUGGCGAUACCUUUGCAAGGUUUCAUGUUGUUUGGCGAGAUAGCAGACUACACAAGCCCUGCUAUGAUCAUGUAUGUCCUGGUUUUGUGCAAGUUAGUCACCGUGUUGGUCUUGGAGGAAGAGUACUUCCUAUUUCAGUCUACAACGGACCACAAUAUGUGAUAGACAUUUACAUUUUCAAGGACCCAAAAACAGCGAAUUGGUGGGUGAUGUAUGGUGAAGAAAAGACACCGAUUGGAUAUUGGCCAAGUUCACUCUUCUCUCACUUUAAAGAUAAAGGAAUUUCCUCAUUCUGGGGCGGUUUUGUUCAGGGCCCAACAGCUUCAUCAGACUCUCCACAAAUUGGUAGUGGGCAUGUGGCCUCUGAAGGGUAUGGAAAAGCAGCUUUUAUGAGGGACAUUCAGAUUGUUGACAACAACAACAAGCUUGUCACUCCAAAUAGACACAAAGACCUUGUUGGAUCUAGUGAUAAAAAGAAAUAUAGUAUUGAUGGUUAUAAAGUUGAUAACCAUGGUAUGCAUAUGUAUUAUGGUGGACCAGGUAAUUUGGUCUAA